UGAGGGGGACUGCUCCUAGUACGAGAGGACCGGAGUGGACGCAUCACUGGUGUUCGGGUUGUCAUGCCAAUGGCACUGCCCGGUAGCUAAAUGCGGAAGAGAUAAGUGCUGAAAGCAUCUAAGCACGAAACUUGCCCCGAGAUGAGUUCUCCCUGACUCCUUGAGAGUCCUGAAGGAACGUUGAAGACGACGACGUUGAUAGGCCGGGUGUGUAAGCGCAGCGAUGCGUUGAGCUAACCGGUACUAAUGAACCGUGAGGCUUAACCUUACAACGCCGAAG
rnacentral:rRNA from 1 species